rnacentral:rRNA from 1 species
GGGUCAGUAGGUUGGUCGUGCCACCGGUACGUACUGGUCUCACUGAUUCCUCCUUCCUGAAGAACCGUAAUGCCAUUAAUUUGGUGUUGCGGGGAGACAGGACUGUUGCUUUGAAAAAAUUAGAGUGUUUAAAGCAAGCUAACGCUUGAAUACAUUAGCAUGGAAUAAUGAAAUAGGACGAUCGAUCCUAUUUUGUUGGUUUCUAGGAUUGACGUA